UUUUCGACUGACAUCCCCAAGAGGUAAAAUAUAUAGUGAAAACAAUAGUGGUCCUAAAACGGAACCUUGAGGAACACCGAAAUUUACAAUUGAUUUGUCAGAGGACAAACCAUUCACAAACUGAUAUCUUUCCGACAGAUAAGAUCUAAACCAGGCCAGAACUUGUCCAUGUAGACCAAUUUGGGUUUCCAAUCUCUCCAAAAGAAUGUGGUGAUCGAUGGUAUCAAAAGCGGCACUAAGAUCUAGGAGCACGAGGACAGAUGCAGAGCCUCGGUCUGACGUCAUUAAAAGAGUUUCAGCAAUGCAGACCUGGUGGACGAGGAGUCAGUCCCAGUGGAGAGGGAUGGGUCUACCCCUCAGUGGAAGUGUUACGCCAAGUACAUCAGCCCCCAACAGAUCCUCCUCACCUUCCUCCCUGACACCUUCACAGGUAGGCCUGGUGUGCUAUACCCCCUUCUCCUUUCUGGGAACUGGUUUAGUCACAGGUAGAUAAAAUCCACUUUUGUUCUCUGUGCUCUGCUGUAUUUGUCUGAUGUGCAAAUAGGACAGAAUUACAGCUCUUUCUACUCAUUACACAAGUGGGGGCUCUGCUCUCGUCAUAGGAAUCCUAUGUAUUUAGGCUAGUUACCAGCCUAGUAUCAUGUGCUAGUUUUAACCUGUCUGGGCCAGUGGGACGCUUGCGUCCCACCCUAAUCAACAGCCAGUGGAAUCGCAUCGCGCUAAAUGCAAAACCUCAUAAAUGCUAUAACUUCAAUUUCUCAAGUAUAUGACUAUUUUACACCAUUUUAUAGAUACACCUCUCCUGAAUCGAACCACAUUGUCUGAUUUCAAAAAGGCUUUACAGCAAAAGCAAAACAUUAGAUUAUGUUAGGAGAGUACCCUGCCAAAAAAAAUCACACUGCCAUUUUCAAAGCAACUAGAUGCAUCACAAAUACGCAAAACACAGCUAAAUGCAGCACUAACCUUUGACAAUCUUCAUCAGAUGACACUCCUAGGACAUCAUGUUACACAAUAUAUGCAUUUUUUUGUUCGAUAAAGUUCAUAUUUAUAUAUAAAAACAGCAUUUUACAUCGGCGCGUGACGUCCAGAAAAUAUUUUCCCUCAAAUGCUUCCGGUGAAUCAGCGCUACAAUUUACAAAAUGACUAUUCGAAAACAUUGUUAAAAUGUAAUAUUGUCAUUCAAAGAAUUAUAGAUUAACAUCUCGUGAAUGCAACCGCAUUGCCAGAUUUAAAAAAACUUUACUGGGAAAUCACACUUUGCAAUAAACGACGUGGUAUGCUCAGAAAAAUAGGCUAGGCGAUACAUGUUAGCGCCAUCUUGGAACCAUCUAAAAUCAAAAAUACUAUUGUAAAUAUUCCCUUACCUUUGAUUAUCUUCAUCAGAAGGCACUUCCAGGAAUCCCAGGUCCAAAACAAAUGUAGUUUUGUUCGAAAAAGUUAAUAAUUUAUGUCCCAAUAGUUCCUUCUUGUUAGCGCGUUCCGAAGGCUACUCAUAAUGUACUGAAGCGCGCGGGACUUGUUGUCACGAAUGUGCAAAAAAAUAUAUAUUUACGUUCGUUCAAACAUGUCAAACGUUGUAUAACAUAAAUCUUUAGGGCCUUUUUCAACCAGAGCUUCAAUAAUAUUCAAGGUGGACGAUUGCAUUGUCUUACUAAACGUUUCAGAACAAAAGGUUUCCCAUGGGUGCCCGCGUCACAGUAGUAAUAGCCCUCCCCCUGUGACCAACUUCCCAAGCCUCUCUUUGGGUCAGUUUCUACCAUAGAAGACUCAAACCACUUUGUAAAGACUGUCGACAUCUAGUGGAAGCCUUAGGAAGUGCUAAAUGAUUAAUAAGUCCCUGUGUGUUUCAAUGGCAAAGGUUUGAAGUGAUUUCACACAUCAGAUUUCCAUUUCCUGUUAGGAUUUGUCUCAGGGUUUUGACUGCCAUAUGAGUUCUGUUAUACUCACAGACACCAUUCAAACAGUUUUAGAAACUUUAGAGUGUUUUCUAUCCAAAUCUACUAAUUAUAUGCAUAUUCUAGUUACUGGGCAGGAGUAGUAACCAGAUUAAAUCGGGUACGUUUUUUAUCCGGCCGUGCAAAUACUGCCCCCUAUCCCCAACAGGUUAAAGCAAUACAUUUGGAUUAGCUAACUAUCAGGUAUGAUGGUAAGACCCAGAUGCAGACCACAAAAUAAUCAAUAGUUUAAUAUUCCAACAAGGGCAGGCAAUAGACAGGUCAAGCCAGGCAGGGGUCAGAAAACCAGAGGUGGGGCAACGGUACAGGUCGGCGGGCAGGCAGAGUGGUCAGGCAGGCGGCCUCGGAGUCAUGACAGUCAAGGGUCAAAACCAGGAGGGCGAGAAAAGAGAGACUGGAAAAAGCAGGAGCUGAGACACGAAACGCUGGUUGACUUGAACAAACAAAAUGAACUGGCAACACACAAACAGAGAACACAG
rnacentral:lncRNA from 8 species